GACGAACGCUGGCGGCGCGCUUAACACAUGCAAGUCGAACGGAAAGGCCUGCCUUCCCUUGUGGAUUGCGGGUACUCGGGUGGCGAACGGGUGAGUAACACGUGAGUGAUCUGCGCUCAACUUGGGUAUAAGCCUGGGAAACUGGGUCUAAUUUCCGAUAGGACUGCAGGGUGGUUCCGGCGGUGGAAAACGAUUUUCUAGUGGUUGGGGAUGGGCUGGAGGCCUAUCAGCGUGGUGGUGGGGCAAUGGCCGACCAAGGCGGGGACGGGUAGCUAGCCGGAGAGGGGGGACAGCGACAUUGAGACUGGGAUCCGGCCCAGACUGCUACGAGAGGCAGCAGAGGGGAAUAUAGGGCAGUGGGCGGGAGCCUGAUGCGGCGACGCCGUGUGGAAGGUCACCGGCUUCGAGUUGUAAACUCCUUUCGAGCGCGAGGAAGCAGCCUGGUUGGAAGGGUGGUGACGGUAGUAGUAGAAGAAGCACCGGCUAACUACGUG
rnacentral:rRNA from 1 species